GAAGGAAACCACUUCCAUGGCUGCAAAUUUGUUGUUUUCGUGCAAUUCUAACUUAAUCCGUGCUUCAUAUUCCAUUACAUUUGUGGGUGUUAGACGGAGGAUACUGAAUCUUGAUCAACCCGGGAAGAACUUAUGGAAGCCGGAAAUUUUCUCGUACGUUUCUCGUUGCAGCAACUGAAGGUUCAGCAAACUCCAACAAAUACGACGGAACCAUCCCCUCUUGGGCUAGACCAGAUUCCGAUGAGCCCCCUCCUUGGGCUGAGGAGGACACCAAUGGCAGCGGCAGCGCCAACUCUGCCAAUCAGAAUGUCGAGAUUCCCUCCUUUGUUUACUUACUUGCCUCAGCAAUUACCGCAAUUGCUGCAAUAGGUUCUGUGUUUGAGUAUGUGAAUCAGAGGCCUGUUUUUGGAAUUUUGAAUUCCGAUAGCAUCUUCUAUGCUCCAUUGCUCGGAUUCUUUGCGUUUACUGGCAUCCCAACG
rnacentral:misc_RNA from 1 species